UUGCUUUGGCAGCACAUAUACUAAAAUUGGAGCAAUACAGAGUAGAUUAGCAUGGCCCCUGCGCAAACAUGAUACACAAAUUGUGAAGUCUUCCAUAUUUUU